GCCGGGCGCGGCGCGGAGGAAGUGCCGUCUUCGCCGCUUCAGCUACUGGAGCCGCCUCAGGCGCGCCGCGGGUCGCCUCCGCCGCGCCGGCCGCGAUGUCUUCCCGGCCGGGGCGUGACGACGCGCGGGCCGGGGGCGCGCGGCGGCCGCGGGAGUCGGCGGAGCAGGAGCUGCAGCGGCGCCGAGAGCAGAAGCGGCGGCGACACGACGCGCAACAGCUGCAGCAGCUCAAGCACCUGGAGUCCUUUUAUGAAAAACCUCCUCCUGGGCUUAUCAAGGAAGAUGAGACUAAGCCAGAAGACUGUAUACCAGAUGUACCAGGCAACGAACAUGCCAGGGAAUUUCUGGCUCACGCACCAACUAAAGGACUUUGGAUGCCCCUGGGGAAGGAAGUCAAAGUUAUGCAGUGUUGGCGUUGUAAACGGUAUGGUCACCGAACAGGCGACAAAGAAUGUCCUUUCUUUAUCAAAGGCAAUCAAAAGUUAGAACAGUUCAGAGUAGCACAUGAAGAUCCCAUGUAUGACAUCAUACGAGAGAAUAAAAGACAUGAAAAAGACAUAAGGAUACAGCAGUUAAAACAGUUACUGGAGGAUUCCACCUCCGAUGAAGAUGGGAGCAGCUCCAGCUCCUCAGAAUGUAAAGAGAAACACAAGAAAAAGAAGAAGAAAGAAAAGCAUAAGAAAAGGAAAAAAGAAAAGAAGAAGAAGAAGAAACGAAAGCAUAAGUCUUCCAAGUCGAAUGACAGUUCAGACUCAGACUGACGAGGACUGGACUUACUCCACAUUCUCCUCUCAAAAUCAGACACAGUGACCCCGGACCAGAGGGGGUGGAAUCGGGGAGGACUCGGAGGCCCUGAGAGAGCAGGGCAUUCGGUGUCACACGUGCGAAUUCCCACCUGCCUUCUGGUGAAGACAUGCCCCCCGGAGGGCCAGCCUCCACCUGUGCUCUGGACCCCAACUCUCAGCCAGCAGUAGAGGGCAGUGAUUAAGAGUGCUGGCUCUGGAUCCAGACUGCCUUGUUUUGAAUCCCAACUGCACCAUCCGUGAGCUAUCAGACUGUGCAAGUUGCCUGAUCUCUCUGUGCCACCAUUUCCUUGACAUAAUAUAUACCUCACAGAAUCAUCAAGAAUUAAGUGACCUGAUACUUGUAAAGCAUUUAGAACAGUUUGGAACAUUUCAAUUGAUAAAUGAAUGUUAGUUACUCCUGCUGCUACUUAUGCUAUGAUCAUUAUCUGUUCCUGCUCCCUCUGGGAUUUUCCUCCUUUCCCAUCACACUCUUGUCUUCAGACUCUUUCUUUCAACUUCUCUGUUGCCACCAGCUUUAAAAGCUGUUAUAAAUUAUAAAAGCAGGGGCUUC